rnacentral:tRNA from 2 species
GGAGAGAUGGCAGAGUGGUCGAUCGCGACGGUCUUGAAAACCGUUAGACCUGCAAGGGUCUCGGGGGUUCGAAUCCCCCUCUCUCCGCCA